CAGUGGGGAUAUUGGACAAUGGGCGAAAGCCUGAUCCAGCAAUGCCGCGUGAGUGAUGAAGGCCUUAGGGUUGUAAAGCUCUUUUACCAGGGAUGAUAAUGACAGUACCUGGAGAAUAAGCUCCGGCUAACUCCGUGCCAGCAGCCGCGGUAAU
rnacentral:rRNA from 1 species